UGUAAAAUGCAGAGGAAAAAAUGUAGAGCAGGUUGUUUGAUAGAGGUAGUAGUUUUGAAUUAGACAGAAAGUAAGUAAAUAAAGGUUUUGUUUUAUUUGUAUUAGAUUUAAAAUGUAAGGUUGAAACGAUUAAUCGGAUUAAUUGUGAUGAAACUGAAAUAACCAUCAACUAGUUUAGCUAUUGAUUAAUCGUUAAGUAGGGUAAUUAAGCCAAAACUCUGCCAAAAAAAUCUAUACAAAAGAUAGAUUAAGACAAAAAAAAAUUAAGACAACCCCCCACCCC